CGUGUAGGUGGAACUUUAAGUCGGUGGUGAAAGCCUGCAGCUUAACUGCAGAACUGCCCUCGAUACUGAAGUUCUUGAGUACGGCAGAGGGAGAUGGAAUUCAUGGUGUAGCGGUGAAAUGUGUAGAUAUCAUGAAGAACACCGGUAGCGAAGGCGGUCUCCUGGUCCGUAACUGACACUGAGGCGCGAAAGCGUGGGGAGCAAACAGGAUUAGAUACCCUGGUAGUCCACGCCUUAAACGAUGGGUACUCGGUGCUGGGCCGCAAGGUUCAGUGCCAAAGCUAACGCAUUAAGUACCCCACCUGGGGAGUACGAUCGCAAGGUUGAA
rnacentral:rRNA from 1 species